UACAGAGGGUGCAAGCGUUGUUCGGAAUUAUUGGGCGUAAAGGGCGUGUAGGCGGUUUGCUAAGUCAUGUGUGAAAUCCCCCGGCUUAACCGAGGAACGACGCAUGAUACUGGCAAGCUAGAGUACCAAAGAGGGGGGUGGAAUUCCCGGUGUAGCGGUGAAAUGCGUAGAUAUCGAGAGGAACACCUGCGGCGAAGGCGGGUUGCUGGGCUGACACUGACGCUGAGGCGCGAAAGCUAGGGGAGCGAACGGG
rnacentral:rRNA from 1 species